rnacentral:rRNA from 1 species
UACAGAGGUCUCGAGCGUUGUUCGGAUUCAUUGGGCGUAAAGGGUGCGUAGGUGGCGCUGUAAGUCAGGUGUGAAAUUUCGGAGCUUAACUCCGAAACUGCAUUUGAUACUGCGGUGCUUGAGGACUGGAGAGGAGACUGGAAUUUACGGUGUAGCAGUGAAAUGCGUAGAGAUCGUAAGGAAGACCAGUGGCGAAGGCGGGUCUCUGGACAGUUCCUGACACUGAGGCACGAAAGCCAGGGGAGCAAACGGG